UACGGAGGGUGCAAGCGUUAUCCGGAUUCACUGGGUUUAAAGGGUGCGUAGGUGGGUUUGUAAGUCAGUGGUGAAAUCUCCAAGCUUAACUUGGAACUGCCGUUGAUUACUAUAAAUCUUGAAUGUUGUGGAGGUGAGCGGAAUAUGUCAUGUAGCGGAUGAAAUGGCUUAGAUAUGAACAUAGUAACACCAAUUGCGAAGGCAG
rnacentral:rRNA from 1 species